rnacentral:rRNA from 1 species
CAGCUAGUUGGUGAGGUAAUGGCUCACCAAGGCGACGAUCGGUAGCUGGUCUGAGAGGACGAUCAGCCACACUGGGACUGAGACACGGCCCAGACUCCUACGGGAGGCAGCAGUGGGGAAUAUUGGACAAUGGGGGCAACCCUGAUCCAGCCAUGCCGCGUGAGUGAUGAAGGCCUUCGGGUUGUAAAGCUCUUUUGGCGGGGACGAUGAUGACGGUACCCGCAGAAUAAGCCCCGGCUAACUUCGUGCCAGCAGCCGCGGUAAGACGAAGGGGGCUAGCGUUGUUCGGAAUUACUGGGCGUAAAGCGUGUGUAGGUGGUUGUCAUAGUCAGGUGUGAAAGCCUUGAGCUCAACUCAAGAAAUGCACUUGAUACUGGGCGACUAGAGGACCGGAGAGGAUAGUGGAAUUCCCAGUGUAGUGGUGAAAUACGUAGAGAUUGGGAAGAACACCAGUGGCGAAGGCGGCUAUCUGGACGGUUUCUGACACUAAGACACGAAAGCGUGGGGAGCAAACAG